GAUGAACGCCGGCGGUGUGCCUAAUACAUGCAAGUCGUACGCACUGGCCCAACUGAUUGAUGGUGCUUGCACCUGAUUGACGAUGGAUCACCAGUGAGUGGCGGACGGGUGAGUAACACGUAGGUAACCUGCCCCGGAGCGGGGAUAACAUUUGGAAACAGAUGCUAAUACCGCAUAACAACAAAAGCCACAUGGCUUUGUUUGAAAGAUGGCUUUGGCUAUCACUCUGGGAUGGACCUGCGGUGCAUUAGCUAGUUGGUAAGGCAACGGCUUACCAAGGCGAUGAUGCAUAGCCGAGUUGAGAGACUGAUCGGCCACAAUGGAACUGAGACACGGGUCCAUACUCCUACGGGAGGCAGCAGUAGGGAAUCUUCCACAAUGGGCGCAAGCCUGAUGGAGCAACACCGCGUGAGUGAAGAAGGGUUUCGGCUCGUAAAGCUCUGUUGUUGGAGAAGAACGUGCGUGAGAGUAACG
rnacentral:rRNA from 1 species